UCGGGUACGUGCCGUCCGGUGUCCCCCCCGCCUCGGGCGGAGCGGGGGCCUGGGACGGCCCCGCCCCCGCCGCCCCUGCACCUGCGGGCGGAGGGAACACGGGGCCCCGUCCUGACGUCACCGCCACUCCGACGGAAAAGGACGGACGGCUACUGUGCGAGUUCCAGGAACCCGGAGGCACAGGGCUGCGGCCGUCCGGUGGAUUCCGGGAAGAGAGAAGCGGACCUGUGAGGUGUUGAGAUGGGUCGCGUGGCAGAGAGGGCUCUGGGGACUCGGUGGUCGCUGUACGGAAGAGGAGGGAUCAAGGUCGGCUUGAAGAUUCGCAAUCGGACCUCGGGAGGUGACCUGACCUCCAGGACCUCGGGAGGUGACCUGCUUGGGAGGAGAGGUCGUCACAGAGGUGGGUAAGCUCACACUCAGGCACAAGCCUGCCCUUCCUCUAACUCGGCCAGUGCUGUGUGAAACGGGCAGCCGGGCGCAGGGACCCGCGGAGGUGCAGACGCAGGGAGAAGAGAGCACCUGCGGCCCAGAGAGGCCCGGGGACCCGAGGGUCCCUCUGCCCUCGGGAGCACCAGGCCCUGACGGCGCUGUGACUCGGGCCUCUCAGCCUCCCGAAUGGGAGACGAGGAGUCCCCACCCACGGUGGAGCCACCCAGGCAGCGAAUGGGAGUGUCAUUUUUAUUUGUGAUUCGGAUUCAUCGAGACCCUCGACUCACGACCCAGUGUCAUCCUCGGGCCGGGAAUGCCCAGCUUGGGUUUCGUCAUUGACUUGUUUUUAACGAGGAGCUCACAUCUGCGAAGCCGCCUGCCAGGACACACGCAGGACCGGGAAAUGACUCACGUCCGACCGUCACCCCCCCCCCCACGUCGCCCCCGUCCUCCCCGCCGACAGACAGCCCGAGUCCACGACUCCUCGUGCCCCUGCUCUUCUCUCGGUGCUGCUCCCCGUGGCCCUGCAGCGCCCACGCGAAACCAGCCCCAUGGCUUUGAGGUGCACCAGGGUGCUGUGUGCUGCGUGACCUUGGGGACCGUCUGUCCUGCCCCCGAUCACAUUGCCGCGCUACGUGACGCUCUUGCUGUUUUGAAAUGAAACGUCCCCGUGGCUGCCUGUGCCCCGGAGGCGCACUGACACCCUCGCCCGCCUCCCCAGCUGCGGCUCCCGGUCCCGCCGACAGGCCUGGCUGAGUCCCUGUGUUGCCGGAGGGCGGAGCCUCCUGGGCUGGCGGGCCUGGGGGGGGGACCUGUGGGGCUCACACCUGCAGGGCCUUCCGUCCUCGUUUUCCGUCAUCUCUUCGGUCACUGUGACGCGCAGACACGUGUCCCCAGCAGCCGGCCGGCCUGCUGACCACACGGCACUUCCGUCUGGUCGCCGGCCAGGAGGACAGAAGGGCCCGUGGCUCACGUCGUCGCCGGGAUUUCAAAGGGUGAGUCAGCGUUUACCCGGGGCCGUGAGUAAGUGCCCAAAAUAGCCCUUUCCUUCCCUUGGGAACAGGACGGCCUCGGGGGGCGGGCGGACAGCGCAGAGCCUGGAACCCGCCGACCUUCACAGGGGACCCCAGGCAGGUCACCGAGCCCGGGGGUGCUUAGGUGCCUCCCGACUCUGAGACCGGAGACCGAACUCCGGCCGCCCUCCGCACUCGUGCAAAACCCGACCCCCGGAGCUCUGAGCGGGGCCUGGGGAACCGGCCGUUUCCUGCCCUGUUUCAGGGAAGUUCAGAGGGAACA